UACGGAGGAUGCGAGCGUUAUCCGGAUUUAUUGGGUUUAAAGGGUGCGUAGGCGGUAUGGUAAGUCAGCGGUAAAAGCCCGGGGCUCAACCCCGGCGAGCCGUUGAAACUGGCGGGCUGGAGUUGGAGAGAAGUAUGCGGAAUGCGUGGUGUAGCGGUGAAAUGCAUAGAUAUCACGCAGAACUCCGAUUGCGAAGGCAGCAUACCGGCGCUCAACUGACGCUCAUGCACGAAAGCGUGGGUAUCGAACAGG
rnacentral:rRNA from 1 species